rnacentral:lncRNA from 1 species
GGUUGGACGUCUAUCAUCCCACAUAUUUGAGUUGAAAGGAGUCUCUUCUACAACAAGGAACGAGAAAAAAAAGCUGCAGUUCAAGGGUUGAGGUUGCAGUCACAGUUAACUAUUGAUCAAAAUUCAAAGAGGUUAAGAUUCUACUUGGAGAAGAAGGAUCUACUACAAGAAGAAGGAUUCAAGAUUGAUCCCGAUGGAUACC